AGUUUAGAUUGCGGGGUUGUUGAUGAUUUUCAAUGAGUCACACGUCUAUAGUAGAACUGGAAUGCACCUCCACAUGCUGUAGUGUUUUACAGCGUUCUCUUCACAGGUCUCCUUUGCCCUUCCAAAAUGUGGAAGAGGUCAACGAGGUGCACGGCAAGUUUGUCGAAGCAUUCAGAGACCGCUUCGAAAGGCACAAGGCAUGCGUCGGCCAUGCUGAUCUUGAGCUGAAAAUUCUUUGAACAUAGCUUCGAUUCGUUUUCAUUUACUGGAGACCUUGUUUGUAUGUUUCAGUCAAUUUGGACUCAUAUAACCCUAAAGAGAGGGCAAUUGGAUUCACUGUACAUUCCAGCAUCCCAUGUCCCAUCUGCAACGUUGAUGUUAAGUCUUGUUCCUUCUCGCUCGCUUGUGGCUUUGGGAGUAAAGAGAGAGACUUGAAUGGAAUCCUAAAAAUCCAAUAUGUACACAACCUUCACAAUCGAUUACGGUGGGUACUAUACAGAAUGUGAGUGUUUCAUGC